GGACGUGAUCGCCACGGUUCUCAUCGCGGUGGCUGUGUACUGCGUCUCGUCCCAGCAGAGGAGUGGAGCCUACAUUGGCAAUAAAGCUUCCGACAGACAGAACCUCCUCAUGAACGAUGGCAACAGCAUGGUGUAUGAGCCGCUGCGUGAGCGAGACGAUGGAGCCUACAGCAAACUGG